rnacentral:rRNA from 1 species
AUGAUCCUGUACCCUGACGUGCUCGUUCAUGACAUCCCAGUAAGCAACUGUGCUAUACGAUCGAAUGCGUGGGACAGUAACCUAAUUGCCAAGGUGAUCAAGAAGGACACGAUCUCUCCUGGUGUGUUCGGCAAAUUACAACUUAAAGAGGAGUAUAGGGGCACGGAGCAGACACCGAUGUUUGGUGGUCUUUUGCAAGCUCAAGCAUUCGUUGCAUCCAAAUUACCACUAACGUACAAUCCCCAGAAAAAGGCAAAGAUUGCCAAAGUGGUCAAUGACUUGUGCAAGGCAGUAACUGAACAGGUUGGCACCUUCAUUGAAGUAGUUGCCAAGAUCGAUGAUGAGGAACCAGAUGUUGAUCCAUAUGUACAGCAGACAUCAACGGGAACCGCUCCGUCACGCCGUGAUCCAAAAAGGAAGAGACGGGUUUCACCUAUACCAGAAGAAGAAGAGUUCGUUGAGGAGGAGUCAGACGAAGAUGAUGAAAUGGAAGUACCACAAGAUGUUGAAGACGACGGGGAGUCAGAUGAGGAUGAAUCAGAGGAGGAGGACAAAGAGGAGGAGGACAAAGAAGGAGAGGAUGAUGAUGAUGAUGAGGAGGAUGAUGAUGAUGAGGAGGAGGAGAAGGAAGAGGAGAAGGAAGAGGAGGAAGAGGAGGAGGAGGAGGACAAAGGAGAGGAGGAGGGCAAGGAAGAAGAUAGUGAGGCAGAGGAGGAGGAACAAGAAAAUGAAGCCAAAGAAGGAGAUGGAAACAAAGCUGCAGCAAUCAAUGGUAGUGAGGGGGAAGGAGAGGACGGGGAAGAAGACGAGGAUGCCGAUCCUGAUGAUCAAGAGGGAUCCAAUGGAGGCAGUGACAGUUAA